CAUUGGAGCUCUGUCAGUGAAGCUUACACCGGAAGAGAUGGCCGAGCUUGAAUCGAUUGCUUCUGCGGACAAUGUCAAGGGUGGCAGGUACGAUGGAAGCAUGUCUACAUGGGAAAACUCCGACACUCCACCCCUUUCUUCUUGGAAACCUGCCUAGAAGCGUGUCUGCUUCUGUUGCUGCAUCUUUGAUGUGCAGAGGUUGAGCAUUUGCCGCUGAAGUAAUUUGAGUUUAUGUUGUGUGGCUGUUAUAAGUAUGUGUAAUAAGAGAGUGACUGUUUUCAUUUUGUACAUGUGACAUUCACUAUGAUAAGAUUAUGGAUGUGUACUAACCUUACUGGGGAAAGAUCACUCGAUAAACACGAGAGCGAGUUGAAUACGAACUGAGCCUGCCGUGUCGACUUUAUUGGGGUGACUUUUAGAAUCUGAGAAAUCGGGAUUUUGAAGAAUUCAAACUCAGUCGUACAUACUAGAGUGGUAUUCUCCACCAACCAUGAGUUCAAUCUCUUAAGACUGGAUGCUGCACAUAGAUGCAAAGCUUCGCUUUGUGUUUGGUUUGGUAGCGAAGUUAAGGAACAGUAAAAUGUUACCGGAUGUUCUCGCGAAAACGAAGUUGGGGAUAAAAUGCUGGCGCGGAUGAUAUGAGCGUCGGGGAAAUCGAGGGUUUCUUGUUCAAGUUUCACCACCUACGGUUCAUGAGCUUUUAUGUAGCUCGAUACCUUCGCUCAAUGCCUCUGCAUUAUUAUAAAACAGUCGGAGAUAUUGCGCAAGUUUCCUAAAAUUAAAAACGACACUUCUAUUGUUUUUUAUUUGGAGUUAGAGUGGUGCAAUGUUGUUUUGUUUUGGUUUAGGAAAAUAACGCAAAUAGUCACUACACUUUGGUCCAAUGUGUUAUGUUCUUACUGAAUUUUUAACUUGUUUAAUAUGGUUGUCGAGCUUUUUGUAUAUGUUUAAUUUAAAUCCUAGGCUAGAUAAAUCCAAUGAUGCCGUGUUUGGUCGGUUCGAAGAUCGUUGCUAUAUGGGAUAAUGAUAGGAUAAAAAUCCCAUCUAAUAUUUCUUGACGUCUGGAUAUAACAUGAUUCAAAUAAUUUUUUUUUUAAACGAGUGUUUGAUUUGUAUAAUUAAAAUUAAAAAUAAACCAUGGAAGUCGUGAAUACUAUUCAUCCUUUCACAAUCUUCAUCCAUAUCAAGCACCCCCGUUCCAUGUGACUUCAAGGACGCUCGCUCCUUCUGCAACACCCCUUUCGCUGCCCUUGAUCAACUUGAUGGAUUACGCUCGCUCUGCCUUUUGACUUCGCCACAUUGAGAGGCCCUUGGGUUUGAGUUCUCCGCUGGUCUAGCCAUCUUUAUUUUCAACGCCUUUUCCUGCGAUGAAUCCAUCCCCCUCGACGAGUGUGAAUGCCGCGUUGAUUCCCUGUUACCGUGCUCCGACUUGUUCAGUCGCUUCAACAGCUUCCCCCGAGACAGCGUGCGGAUCCGGUUUAUGAGUGGUAGCAGCAUCGGUACUACUCGCUCCGAGUGACGUGGUUGAGGAGCUCUAUCACCUUGGCUGCCGCCUCUUUCGGAUCAUCUUCUUCACAGAGGAGGUGUCCAGCUUUGAUCGGGAUCACAAAUUUCCCUACUAAAAUGAAGUUGAGUGACACAAGAAAGAGGCAGGGCUGACGAGCUCCGCGAUACUCAUGCUCAUGCUCUAAUUUUGUGGUGGUCAUUUUAGCGAGACAAAUUGGAACAAGAGAGAGAUGAUGGUGGCACUGGUCAAAAGCGAGGAUAAGCUAUAAAAAGCGCCCCGCCGCCCGGGGGGGGGGGGGGGGGGGGGGGGGGGGUCAGUUUUUCAAAUUUCACAUAUUUUAUCUGGAUUUAUAUCACUUUCUAGAUGUGAUUUUUUAUCCGUGCUAUAUCCUAAUUUCACAUUACUCUAGACACCAUAUAGGAUUAAACUUAUCAUAUUAGAGUUUUAUCCAGCCCUUCAAAUGCAGUCUUAUGAGAUAGAAUGCAAUGAUAUAAUCUGUGAACUAAAUUUAAACAUUUAUUAAAAGUUUACGAACGGAAUUUCACAUUUUGAUUGUUAAGAUGCAUGAGUGAGUUAUGUUAAAAUAAUCACACAAUAUAUUGAUAGCUUUAAAAAUGGGCUUUCUCUUGGUGAUGACGUUGAUCCAUAUAGAGAAAUUAAUGAGAGGGUUUAUUUGGCCUAACUAAAUGGGAGGCUAUAUCAAUGGGAGGUUUUUCAUUGUAACAUUCCCUUGUGCUUGGAAUUUGUUUUUUAGUAAAGGAUUUUAUUAGCGUAAUAAUAGUCUUUGGGUUAUUAUGUGAAUAACAAUUUAUUGUGAGUCACAAAUUUUUUAAAGUAAUGAACCCCAUAAUAAUUUCAAUUAUUUGUUACUUGAUUUUUUGUAGUUUAGAAUAAAAAUUAUCACCAAGUUAUUUCUUUUUAACAAAUAUAUUGCUCUAACUGUUGUUUUCAAUUAAGUUUGCAUCGGAGAAGAGAUUAUUUUGUUUUGCUACGCUUGUCGGAUAUUGCACAGGAUAUUGUCAUUUUCUUAGCACUAGCAACGUUGCGUUCAGACAAGGCGGCAUGGAAUUAUUUGCUCAGCUGCACAUCACACGACCAUACAUUCAUGGACUGUUCCUCAGGAAAGCAUAUAGACAUGUGGCAGAUGCAGAACAUUUCACGAGAUUAAAAAAAAGAAAAUAAUUUUUAAAAAACAAUACUUUCGACUUCAAAACGUGCCAAUCGAACGCCUGCUACUCCCGCCUAUAAAGCUCGGCUCACCCAACGGCUUCGUUGUCGUCUCGAACUGUCCAUUCUCCAUUCUCUGUUCUUGCAUCGACCUCGAGCUAGACGAUGGUGGCAAUGGCGUCGUCAGACGGUGAGGAGGAUCAAGUUGGGGUCGUAGGGUCUCAAGGUCUCGGCGCAGGGGCUGGGCUUGCAUGGGCAUGUUGGAAGAUAUGCGGAUUGCCUGAUUUGAUUUGAUCUUAAUUGAUCAUGAUUAAUCACGAUCUUCAUGUAUAUGUAAAUUAAAAAUUAGAUCUAGAUCUCGAUUGAUAAUCCAGAUCAUUUACUUCCUUAUUCAAGAUAGAGCUUGUAUUAUAUCUCUGCAAAAUUGUACAUUCAGAUUGUAAUAGUGAUAAUACAGAAAAAUCUCCCCACAUCGAUUCCCAUUUUCCUCUCCAAACUUCAUCCGUUCUUCCUUCACUCUUGCCUUCUUUCAUGGUAUCAGAGCAGCUUUGAUCUCUGACUCGCUUCCGUUCCAAACCACUGCUGAAGAAAAUUCUCAACCUGCAAAAGGGUUGAUCUUUCGGCAUUAGGCAUACUCUCGAAGGAAGAAAUUUAAAUUAUCUUACUAUGGCCUCUCCGCAGGACUCCAGUCUGGCUGCUGACGACAGGACCACCGAAGAAAGUAGUCCUCAAGCUCCACAGAUCCAGAAUCUCCCUGCAGUAAUACCAGUAUCCACCCAACCCCAGCAGUGGCGGCCCACGCAGGCUCAGUUUCAAUUGGGGCAACCCACGACGGGUCAACCAUACUAGUGGAUCCCCUAUCCACUCUAUUUUGGGCCAAGCCCAAAUUUCUCAUCGCCUUUUUUCGUGGGCCACCAGAAUCACAAUGGAGGCCCGCCAGCCACGAAUGGGGCAAGCCCAUCCAUCGCGAGAGAGCAGACGGGCGGUUCAAGCGAAUCGGGUACGGGGCAUAAUCCCUACCCGGGACAUGUCAAUGCGGGGUAUCUAGUUGGAUUGAGCGAAUCGGGUCAAGGGACGAAUCCCUACCCGAAUUUCGCACCGGGUUUUCUGUCCAUUCCAGCGGCGGCGUUCACUGGGCGACUAGAAAUAGGCGAUCCUCUGUUUGUCUCCACCGCUGACGGAUCGGAGCUUUGACUGAUAAACCAGCAACUAACCGGACUAGAGACCUAUUCGAAGUGGUCACAGGAGCUCCGGCGGGCAUUGGUGACAAAAGACAAAGACGGAUUUCUCGAUGGGACAAUUUCCAUCCCCUCCGAUGAACGCCUAGCCGGACACUGGCGGAAAUGCAAUCAACUCGUCCGAAUGUGGAUCAGAAAUUGCAUAUCCCCAGAAGUCAUGGCUGGGCUUCCACCCACAGAGGAUGCCAAAACCAUGUGGGAAAACAUUCGAGAAAUAUACGGUAAAAUGGAUCAAGCAAAAGUUUUUAAUCUUAUGCAGGAAAUUAGCGAACUCAAACAGGGAAAUUCGACGGUCACGGCCUGCUUCAACAGGCUAUCGUCCCUCCUGAAUCAACUCGAAGCAGUAGAAGAAAAGCUCGAAGGGCCAGAAUCUACCCUCAAGCAGUACAAACAAAUCAAAGAGAGAGAAAAAGCCACGCGAUUCUUGCUGAUUUUAAACGAAUCGUACCUCACGUUUCGGUCACAGAUCCUUGUCAUGGAUCCCAUGCCACCGAUCGGACGUAUUUACAAACUGGCGAUGCAGGAGGAGAGUCAGCGACUCACAAUCACGAACAACGGUGAGAGCAUCGCUCUGGCUGCCCGCGGAGAGGGGAGAACCCUAACCCUAGCUCGUGAAAAUGAAAAGAAAAGCCCUUUAGGGUUCGACGAGCUCGAUUCGCGCGGGCUUAAAAGGGAUGGGAUGAACGGCCAGGAUUACAUGCAAGGAUCGAGCGGCUUAGAUUACUCCCGAAAAUAUGACGGCCCAGAUUACGCAUGGAGAUCCGACGGUCGUCAAGGAAUCGAAAUUGCGCCUGGAUUGGACGGUGGACAGCAGAUCGCGAUCAAAGGAACGGACGGCCAGAUCUUCACCACGUCAUCAAAGAAUUUCGCAAAUUUUUUUAAAGGAAAGGGGUAAAUUUUUUUGCGAUUAUUGCAAACGUACUAAUCAUACCAUUGACAGUUGCUGGAAAUUACACGGGAAGCCGGGAGAAAAGGAGAAAAAAAUUUCCACAGCUUAUCAAGUCACUGGACCAGCUGGUCCAAAAAUUGACCAGCCAAUCUCAUAUGGUCAAUAUCAGCAACUCAUGCAAAAACUACAGAAGAUGGAAAUUUCCAACAAAGGGGGCAAUUUCUCAGGUAUUUCACAUUGCCUAAUUAAUUCCAUUUCCAGGAAGGCGUGGAUUAUAAUUCUGGGGCAAGUGACCAUAUUAUACGCGACAAGGGAUUUUUUUUUCAAAUAUAAAUGAAAGUUUGAAUUUUCCUGUCUCCGUACAAUUACCCAACGGAAAUGUUACUCAUGUCAAAGUGAUAGGAACAGUGAAUCUCAGUCCUCAGAUUAUUCUCUAGAAUGUGCUAUAUGUCCCAGAAUUCCAAUUCAACCUCAUAUCUGUGUCUCAAGUCUGCAAAGAGAACUCAUGCCGGGUAAUAUUCAAUGCUGACACAUGUUUAUUUCAGGCCCUUUCGACUGGAAGACAGAUGGACUUGGGUAAUCUUUCUGAAGGACUCUAUUUCUGGACGAGUUUUCCAAGUAAUUUCAAUUUUCCAUGCAAUUCCUUGAAUAAAAAAUCAUUGUGUAAUUCAACUGCCAAUGAUAGAAAUUUGACUAUGCAUAUGAGAUUGGGUCACAGUGCUUCAUUUUCAUAUCAUGAAUGUCUUAUAUGUCCCCUUGCAAAGCAAUCUCGCACACCAUUUUCUUCUAGUACUUCACGGACUAGUCAAAUAUUUGCAUUACUUCACGUGGACAUUUGGGGACCUUAUCAUACAGUCAAUCAUGAUGGCUCCCGUUAUUUUCUUACGAUAGUAGAUGACUAUUCUCGGGCAACAUGGAUCUUCCUAAUACAAUAAAAAAAUUAGGUCUAUUCUCACCUGAAAAAUUUCAUUAUGCUAUCUAAGAACCAAUUCAGGAAAUCCAUUCAGCGGAUUCGCACAGAUAACGGGAGAGAAUUCUUCAGUCAUGAAUGCUCCCAGUUAUUCAAUUCUCAUGGUAUUCGACACGAAAGUUCCUGCAUUUACUCACCACAACAAAAUGGAGUGGUUGAAAGAAAGCAUCGCCAUCUACUGGAAGUGGCUCGUGCCUUGAAAUUUCAAGCAUCAAUUCCAGAAAGAUAUUGGGGUGACUGUGUCACCAUAGCAGCUUAUCUUAUUAAUAGAAUGCCUACUCGGAUUCUUAAUGGACAGAUGCCAUUCGAGCUGUUAUUUGGGAAGAAACCGGACUUGAAUCAUCUCAAGAUCUUCGGAUGUCUCUGCUAUGCUGCAAUCAUGGGGCCUCGAGAUAAAAUGAGCCCAUGUGCGCGGCGAUGCGUCUUUAUGGGAUAUCCCAAUCUCCAGAAGGGGUAUCGGGUGCUUGAGAUUUCCACAGGAGAAUUCAUAGUAAGUCAUGAUGUCAUUUUCCAUGAAACUACUUUUCCAUUUUAUGAAGGGGAAUCUUCACAUGGAGAUCCAAAGAUAACUUCCAGCCAUCAUAAUUUUCUCAAUGAUGAAGCACCAUACCGGGAUCUUUCCUAUGUACCAAUAGUACAGCCGAGGGAUCCUAUUCUUCCUACAGUCCCAGUUCUACAAGAUUCUAAUGGAAAUUCGAAUUCUUCAGAACAUAUUCAGGGAGAUAUCUUGGAGGAACCCAUUGCUGAUGCAGAAGUUGAUGACACUACAACAACUUCAUUACCAGCAACAUCACAGCCCACCACCGAAGCUGGACAUCCUAGGAGGUCUGAACGAGCUACAAGACCACCAACCCGGACGAAAGAUUAUGUCUGUACUACUCACAACUCUCCAAGUAUUCAGUAUCCAGUCUCUUCAUAUGUUUCCUUUGAUAGAUUGUCUCAAGAACAUAGAUGUUGUAUUAGUCGAUUGUUUGAAGAGAAAGAACCGUCCAGUUAUAAAGAAGCCUCCAAUAACCCAAAAUGGCAAGAGACCAUGAAGGCAGAAUUGAAGGCCCUUACUGAUAAUCAUACAUGGGAUCUUGUUCCAUUACCAGCUCAUCGUAAACCAAUUGGAUGCAAAUGGGUUUACAAAAUCAAGUAUCGGGCUGAUGGCUCCAUUGAACGGUACAAGGCAAGAUUGGUAGCUAAGGGGUUCACCCAAAGAGAAGGUUUUGACUACCACGAGACGUUCUCACCAGUUGCCAAAGAUGUUACAGUCCGUUCAUUCUUAGCUGUUGCUGCCAUCAAUGACUGGCACCUACACCAGAUGGAUGUCCAUAAUGCUUUUCUCCAUGGCAAUCUAGAUGAAGAGAUCUACAUGAAUAUUCCUCAAGGCAUACAGAGACAGGGGGAUAAUAAGGUGUGUCGUCUCCGUAAAUCCCUUUAUGGAUUAAAACAGGCAUCCGGACAAUGGUAUGCUAAAUUUGCCAGUGCUCUUACAACAGCAGGCUUCAAGCAAUCCAAGCAUGAUUAUGCUCUGUUCUAAAAAACUAAAGGUAUGUCAUCUAUCUAUUUGAUGAUUUAUGUCGAUGACAUACUUGUUAUGGGAAAUGAUAGAGCCUCUAUAGAGAAUUUCAAGGAAUAUUUGCAUGCUACCUUCCAUAUUAAAGACUUAGGAGCACCAAAAUAUUUCCUUGGAAUCGAAGUUGCUCGAUCUGACAAGGGAAUUUCCCUUAGUCAGCGGAAGUUCAUUCUAGAAAUCAUAUCAGAAGUAGGUCUAUUAGGAUGCAAGCUAGCUGUAAUUCCUAUAGAGCAAAACACUAAGUUGACCAUCGCAGACUAUGAUAAGGGAAUAUUUCGAAAUGAUGAUUCCUUACUCAGUGAUCCGUCAGGCUAUCAAAGACUUGUUGGGAAACUUAUAUACCUGACAAUGACUAGACCUGAUAUCUUAUAUGCGGUUCAGACACUUAGCCAGUUUAUGCAUCAACCAAAGCGUUCUCAUUUGGAUGCAGCCUUAAAGGUCGUUAAAUAUCUCAAGAAAUGUCCGGGGCUAGGGAUACUUCUCUCUAAGGAAUGUGACAUGAGGAUGACAGCAUAUUGUGAUGCAGACUAUGCAACAUGUCCGAUUAGUCGAAGAUCUGUUACUGGAUAUUGCAUUAAAUUGGGAGGAUCUCUUCUAUCUUGGAAAACCAAGAAACAAGCUACUGUGUCUCUGUCCUCAGCCGAAGCAGAAUAUCGAGCUGUGGCCAAGGCCACUUGUCAAGUAGUUUGGAUGCGAGGAUUACUCAAGGAUCUUGGAGUAGAAGUGCAAGGACCCACAAGGUUAUAUUGUGAUAAUGAUACAGCUCUUAAACUUGCAACUAAUCCUAUAGUACAUGAAAGAACCAAGCAUAUAGAAGUGGAUUGUCACUUCACACGGGAAAAGAUCCAGGAAGGAGUAAUUGAGACGAGGAAUUUGGACAACGGAGCAACCAGUAGACUUGUUCACCAAGCCCCUAUGUCAGAGGCAACAUGCAUAUCUAUUAAAAAAGCUAGGCGUCUUGGACAUCUACAAGCCACCAGCUUGAGGGGGAGUGUUGGAAGAUAUGUGGAUUGCCUGAUUUGAUUUGAUCUUAAUUGAUCAUGAUUAAUCACGAUCUUCAUGUAUAUGUAAAUUAAAAAUUAGAUCUAGAUCUAGAUUGAUAGUCUAGAUCAUUUACUUCCUUAUUCAAGAUAGAGCUUGUAUUAUAUCUCUGCAGAAUUGUACAUUCAGAUUGUAAUAGUGAUAAUACAGAAAAAUCUCCCCACAUCGAUUCCCAUUUUCCUCUCUAAACUUCAUCCGUUCUUCCUUCACUCUUGCCUUCUUUCAGGGCAUAUCUACUUUGCCGGCCCUCCCAAGCCCAACCCCGACACGAUCGAGCUUGUCCACCACGCCGUUGAAUCUGGCGUUGCCUUCCUCGACACCUCCGACAUCUAUGGCCUUAACGCCAAGGAAGUCCUCCUUGGAAAGGUCGGUAUUUAUUUUGUAGAUAUAAUUGAAGAUCUUGAUCGUGACGCCAAUCCUAAUUGCGGACUAAUUGAUUUGGUCAAUUUGUGAUUGUUUAGUGAAUAUGGAAAUUUUUGUAAUUCUUUAUAUAUUAUUUCAUUUUUUCUCUUUCAUUCUUACACUAUAAAUAGACCAAUGAACUAAUAUACAGAUCAAUCAAUAUACAACAAAAUUUUCUUCAUUUUCUCUUUUGUUUUCUAUUAUGUUAUCAGUGUCAUUCUUCCUCGCCUAGCUUCCCAUAUCUUAGAGUUGCCUUUCUUUUUUUCUUUGUUUUUUUUUUUUUUUUGGUUAUUGCAAGUCCUCAUCCUGCAAUACAAAUCAGCAAAUCGAUUAGGAAUUCAAUUUUUUUUUUCAAUACCAAGGCAAAAAAUAAGAACACUGAGAGCUCCAUGAUAGAGGAGACACCUACCUCACCUCAAAAUCAAGCCCCAUCGCCGUCGGAUUCGAUUAUGAUUUGGGACAAUAUAUUUUAAUCAUUUCGAGAUAAUCUUUAACUGAUCAUGCUCUUCCAGAUACACAGCAAUUGCGCACUUCCAAAUGCUUAUUAUGUCAAGUAACAUGACAAUCUGAUGGCAUGCAACGCAACCAAUUUUGCACUCGUUGAUGUAGAAUUUGGCGUUAAAAGGAAAAUGAUGGUUGCUCGUAUGCUCUCUGCUUAGACAUUGCUUUAUGUUAUGAAGUACCUACCAAGGCUGCGGCCAGAGAACUUGGCUAAUGCAAAGUUAUUCGACCAAGUGAAUGAAAUUGCACAAAGAAAGGGAUGCACCCCAUUGCAGUUAACCCUCGCCUGGGUACACCACUGGAGUGAUGACGUUUGCCCGAUUACCGGCACGAUCAAGAUCGAGAAUUUCAACCAGAACAUUGGAGCUCUGUCAGUGAAGCUUUCGCCAGAAGAGAUGGCCAAGCUCAAAUCGAUUGCUUAUACGGACAAUGUCAGGCGUGAGAAUUAAAACCACAUUUGAUACUAAAUUAUGCCUAGGUAGGAAUUCAAAACUCCACCUCCCGCUUUUCAUGUGGGAAGGUUGGCCCCACCUCGCGCUUAUGGAAAGAGUAAUCACGAAGACAUCACAAUAGUUCAAUUGACGUGAGCAGGUACGUCUUCCCUACAUGGUAAGGGUCGUCACUGGGCGUGCAAUUGACGUAAGCACGUGCGUCUUCACAGCCACUACCGCUCCCCUCCUACUCAUCGUAGCUUCUGCCACUACCCUCCUAUAAAUCUCGGCUCGCCCGACGACUUCGCCAUCGUCUCGGUGCAGUGCAGGGAACGAUCGAGCUCGAGCUAGACUACGGCAAUGGCGGCAUCGACGACGACGGUGAGGAGGAUCAAGCUGGGGUCGCAGGGCCUGGAGGUGUCGGCGCAGGGGCUGGGCUGCAUGAGCAUGUCCGCCUUCUACGGCCCUCCCAAGUCCGAGCCCGACAUGAUCGCCCUCAUCCACCACGCCGUCGGCUCCGGCGUCACCUUCCUCGACACCUCCGACUUCUACGGUCCUCACACCAACGAAAUCCUCCUCGGAAAGGUCGUUCUCUCAGUCUCUCUUUUGCCUCUGCAUGAAUUAUAUAUGCUUAUGGUUUUACGGAACUUAGCUUCAUCGAGCAGGAUGCUCUGAUCCUGCGCCUUGGUUUUCUGAUUUCGGGGUUGAUUUUGAGCAGGCACUGAAGGGAGGGGUGAGGCAGAAGGUGGAAUUGGCGACCAAGUUCGGAAUCAGAUUGGCGGACGGGAAGAGGGAGAUCCAGGGCGAUCCGGCGUACGUGAGGGCUGCUUGCGAGGCCAGCUUGAAGCGGCUCGACAUCGAUUGCAUCGACCUCUACUACCAGCACCGUAUCGACACUCGCGUCCCCAUUGAAGUCACUGUAUGGAUCCCUUAUCAAACUUUCACCUCGCUUGAGACUUUCUCUGAGCCAUACGAUGCAUCGUCAUGUUGUUACAAGUUUGUUGAAUUUUGUUAAAUGACACUUAAGUUCAGCUGAUAGCAGAGUUCAAGAUGCGGCACGGUGUUGUUCAAGGGUUGUGGAAUUUAGUAGUUUAGUGGCUUGAGUUUUCGUUUUGUGGGAAUCUUUUACAAGUUAAGGGUCAACAAGCAUGGAAAUUAUUCGAAAUCUUCCUUUGAGAUGAAAGUGCUCCGGGGUUCAUCCUGAAUUUAUAUACGGGAAUCACAUAUAAAGUUGUUCCUGGACUUUAUACGGAGACAUUUGAUUCUUGACAUAUUGUGAAAUAUGACAAGUACUUGGAAUACUUCUUUUAUUUGCUCUCUUCUGUGAGAGAUUCAAGAAAUCUACCUCCGUUAACUCAAUUCCUUGUGGGUUUUUUGUCGCAUUGAGAUGCAUGAUAAUUGAGGGAUCUAGACACAAAAAGCUAAUGACAAAAAUAAUUUUCUGGAUCUUAACAUGUAAGAUCUUGAUGUUGUUGUUCUGUCAUGUGAAUAUGCACAGAUCGGAGAGCUAAAGAAGCUCGUUGAAGAGGGUAAGAUAAAGUACAUCGGUUUAUCCGAGGCCUCUGCAUCAACAAUCAGAAGAGCACAUGCUGUUCAUCCCAUCACAGCAGUGCAAUUGGAGUGGUCGCUUUGGUCCAGAGAUGUGGAGGCGGACAUCGUUCCAACGUGCAGGUAGGAUAUCACUCCGUUAAUUGUUUAUGCAGCAACAACAGCUUCCUUCUGACUCUGCUUUUCCUUUAAAAUGUUGACUAGGGAGCUUGGCAUUGGAAUUGUUGCCUACAGUCCUUUAGGACGAGGAUUCUUUUCUGUUGGCUCCAAGUUGGCGGAGAAUUUCUCAAAGGAUGACUUCAGACAGGUCUGUUUCUGCUGGUCGACAUAAUUAGAUGCUCACAGUGACUGUCAUUCUCAUUGAAGUGCUGGAAACCUGUUCUUGUGGUAUAAAGAAAAGUUUCUGGAUGGGAUGAAUAAAACUUGGUGACACAAAUGCAUCACGUUCUUAUAUGUCUUCAAUCCAGCACUCGCCAGACAUACUACCUCUCUCGAUUCUAGAUAAAUGUAAAAUCACAAGUAAUGGCUUUAGUGAGCCUGAAAGAGGUAGGUUCCCGGAUUCUCAUUCUUUUGGGAAUGAAUACAUAUAGGUUUAUAUGUAAGUUGCUCUGUUUCCCAGCCUUCCCAACAUUUGCUUAUCACUAUCCUUUCCCCACUUUCCACCCACCCUUUUUCUCUCAUCUUUCUUCACAAGAUUAGCGAUAUUUCCUCGAAAUAACUGACGCCAGUAUCGGGCUCUGGCCUUCCGUCCUUUUUCAUUCUCAUCUUUCUUCACAAGAUAAACUAUAUCUUGACACAACCAUUUCUUGAGUGAGGACUCACGACACCCUUCUUAUGAGAGUUUUGGAUCAAGUUCCCAUCUGACAUAAAGCCAAUUGUGUAUUACUCCCUGCCAUUAGCGUUUGACUAGCGAUAGCGCUGGGCAAGUGAAGUAGCUAUUUUUCUUUGUAGCUAAAAGAGCUCUGCGUCUGAUAACAUUCUUCUACACAUCAUCUACAUUUCUGAUUUUUUAUUUUAUGUGUGACUAAUGGUAUCAUCACACGUACAAAACUUAGAUUGUCGAGUUUGUUUCUGUUUUCACAUCCUACAUCAAGCCCAUCAGCCUUGUGUGGUAGUUGCUAGAUCACUUCGCUUGACGUUUCUAAUGCUUAUGAUUUGGGACAUGAUAUUUUAAUCAUUUCAAGAUUAUUUAUAACUGAUCAUGCUUAUCCAGAUAGACAACGAUUGCACACUUCUAAAUGCUUAUUAUGUCAAGUAACAAGACAAUCUGAUGGCAUGCAAUGCAACCACUUUUGCACUUGUUGCUGUAGAAUUUAGCCUUAAAAGGAAAAUGAUAAUUGCAAUUGCUUUCUGCUGAGACAUUGCUCUAUGUUAUGCAGUAUCAUCCAAGGUUCCAGCCAGAGAACUUGGCUCACAACACGAAGUUAUUUGACCGAGUGAAUGAAAUUGCGCAAAGAAAGGGAUGCACCCCAUCUCAGUUAGCCCUGGCCUGGGUACACCACCAUGGUGACGACAUUUGCCCGAUUCCCGGCACAACCAAGAUCGAGAAUUUCAACCAGAACAUUGGAGCUCUGUCAGUGAAGCUUACACAGGAAGAGAUGGCCGAGCUUGAAUUGAUUGCUUCUGCGGACAAUGUCAAGGGUGGCAGGUAUGAUGGAAGCAUAUCUACAUGGGAAAACUCCGACACUCCACCCCUUUCUUCUUGGAAACCUGCCUAGAAGCGUGUCUGCUUCUGUUGCUGCAUCUUUGAUGUGCAGAGUUUGAGCAUUUGCCGCUGAAGUAAUUUGAGUUGAUGUUGUGUGGCUGUUAUAAGUAUGUGUAAUAAGAGAGUGACUGUUUUCAUUUUGUACAUGUGACAUUCACUAUGAGAAGAUUAUGGAUGUGUACUAACCUUACUGGGGAAAGAUCACUCGAUAAACACGAGAGCGAGUUGAAUAUGAACUGAGCCUGCCUUGUCGACUUUAUGGGGUGACUUUUAGAAUCAAUUGGGAUUUUGAAGAAUUCAAACUCAGUCGUACAUACCGCUGGAAAUAUGGCUUCGAAAUUGGGUAGAACAAUGAAAUCGGAUCGAGUAAAAUAACUCGGACUUUGAGGCGCGAUAUCACUUUCUUUAAGGAUUUAUUUACCCCACAACGUUGCUAAUGGUCACCAGCAAAAAUCCUCCAGGAUACAACAAAGUCUCGGAUGAGAAUACUAGAUAGCAAUUCAAGUAUUUCUCCAGGGUCUCUCUAAGAAACAAUCGAAAAAUUGGAUGCUGUUUUUCAGAAAGGAAUACUCGAAAAUGACACUCUUUUUCUUUCCGAAAAUGAUAGAUAUAUAUAUGAAACAGUCUUGCNNNNNNNNNNNNNNNNNNNNNNNNNNNNNNNNNNNNNNNNNNNNNNNNNNNNNNNNNNNNNNNNNNNNNNNNNNNNNNNNNNNNNNNNNNNNNNNNNNNNUUUUUUUUUUUUAUUUCUUAUUUUUGUUCCAAAGUUGCUCUCACAAUAAAAAAAAAAAAGACCAGAAUAAAAGUAUAAACAAAUGAGUUUCUGUUCUUUUUUGGUUCUCUAGAACAAAAUAAUAAAAAUUUAUAUUUCGGGAAAAAAAAUAAUUUUAAAUGAACACACCCUAAGAUAUCUUUUGUAUUCCGGGGAAGUAGUUCAAUUGACGUGAGCCCGUGCGUCUUCCCUACAUGGGAAGGGUCGUCGCUGGGUCUCAUCUGACCUAAGCAAGCGCGUCUUCACAGCUAUUACCGCUCCCCUCCUACACUUCGUAGCUACCGCCACUCCCCUCCUAUAAAUCUCGGCUCGCCCGACGCCUUCGCCAUCGUCUCGGUGCAGUGCAGGGAACGAGCGAGCUCGAGCUAGACGACGGCAAUGGCGGCUUCGACGACGACGGUGAGGAGGAUCAAGCUGGGGUCGCAGGGCCUCGAGGUGUCGGCGCAGGGGCUGGGCUGCAUGAGCAUGUCCGCCUUCUACGGCCCUCCCAAGUCCGAGCCCGACAUGAUCGCCCUCAUCCACCACGCCGUCGGCUCCGGCGUCACCUUCCUCGACACCUCCGACGUCUACGGUCCUCACACCAACGAAAUCCUCCUCGGAAAGGUCGUUCUCUCAGUCUCUGUUUUGCGUCCGCAUGAAUUAUAUGUGCUUAUAGUGUUACGGAAUUUGGCUUCAUCGAGCAGAGUGCUCUGAUCCCGCGCCUUGGUUUUCUGAUUUCGGGGUUGAUUUUGAGCAGGCACUGAAGGGAGGGGUGAGGCAGAAGGUGGAAUUGGCGACCAAGUUCGGAAUCAGCUUCGCGGACGGGAAGAGGGAGGUCCGGGGCGAUCCGGCGUACGUGAGGGCGGCUUGCGAGGCCAGCUUGAAGCGGCUUGACAUCGAUUGCAUCGACCUCUACUACCAACAUCGCAUCGACACUCGCGUCCCCAUCGAAGUCACUGUAUGGAUCCCCCAUCAAACUUUCACCUCGCUUGAGACUUUCUCCGAGCCAUAUGAUUAGUUGCUAAGUUAGAUUGGUGUUGAUGAUGCAUCGUCAUGUUGUUACAAGUUUGUUGAAAUUUGUUAAAUGACACUUAAGUUCGGCUGAUAGCAGAGUUCAAGAUGCGGCACGUUGUUGUUCAAGGGGUUGUGGAAUUUAGUAGUUUAGUGGCUUGAGUUUUCGUUUUGUGGGCAUCUUUUACAAGUUAAGGGUCAACAAGCAUGAAAAUUAUUCAAAAUCUUCCUUUGAGAUGAAAGUGCUCCAGGGUUCAUCCAGAAUUUAUAUACGGGAAUCACAUAUAAAGUUGUUCCUGGACUUUAUGUGGAGACAUUUGAUUCUUAACAUAUUGUGAAAUAUGUCGAGUACUUGGAAUACUUAUUUUAUUUGCUCUCUUCUGUGAGAGAUUCAAGAAAUCUACCUCCGUUAACUCAAUACCUUGUGACUUUUUUGUCGCAUUGAGAUGCAUGAUAAUAGAGGGAUCUAGACGCAUAAAAAGCUAAUGACAUGCAUAAUUUUCUGGAUCUUAACAUGUAAGAUCUUGAUGUUGUUGUUCUGUCAUGUGAAUAUGCACAGAUCGGAGAGCUAAAGAAGCUCGUUGAAGAAGGUAAGAUAAAGUACAUCGGUUUAUCCGAGGCCUCUGCAUCAACAAUCAGAAGAGCACAUGCUGUUCAUCCCAUCACAGCAGUGCAAUUGGAGUGGUCGCUUUGGUCAAGAGAUGUGGAGGCAGAGAUCGUUCCAACGUGCAGGUAGGAUAUCACUCUGUUAAUUGUUUAUGCAGCAACAACAGCUUCCUUCUGACUCUGCUUUUCCUUUAAAAUGCUGACUAGGGAGCUUGGCAUUGGAAUUGUUGCCUACAGUCCUUUAGGACGAGGAUUCUUUUCUGUUGGCUCCAAGUUGGUGGAGAAUAUCUCUAAGGAUGACUUCAGACAGGUCUGUUCCUGCUUGUCAACAUAAUUAGAUGCUUACAUCAACUGUCAUUCUUAUUGAAGUGCUGGAAACCUGUUCUUGUGGUAUAAAGAAAAAGUAUCUGGAUGGGAUGAAUAAAACUUGGUGACACGAAUGCUUUGUGUUCUUAUAUGUCUUUAAUCCAGCACUUGCCAGACAUCCCACCUCUCUUGAUUCUAGAUAAAUGUAAAAUCACAAGUAAUGGCUUUAAUGAGCCUGAAAGAGGCAGUUUUCUGGAUUCUCGUGCUUUUGGGAAUGAAUACAUAUAGGUUUAUUUGUAAGUUGCUCUGUUUCCCAGCCUUCCCACCAUUUGCUAAUCACUAUCCUCUCCCCACUUUCCACCCACCCUUUUUCUCUCAUCUUUCUUCACAAGAUUAGCGAUAUUUCCUCAAAAUAGCUGACGCCAGUAGCGGGCUUUGGCCCUCCGUCCUUUUUCAUUCUCAUCUUUCUUCACAAGAUAAACUAUAUCUUGACACAACCAUUUCUUGAGUAAGGACUCCUAGCACCCUUCUUAUGAGAGUUUUGGAUCAAGUUCCCAUCUGACAUAAAGCCAAUUGAGUAUUACUCCCCGCCAUUAGCAUUUGACUAGCGAUAGUGCUGGGCAAGUGAAGUAGCUAUUUUUCUUUGUAGCUAAAAGAGCUCUGCGUCUGAUAACAUUCUUCUACACAUCAUCUACAUUUCUGAUAUUUAUUUUAUGUGUGACUAAUGGUAUCAUCACACAUACAAAACUUAGAUUGUCGAGUUUGUUUCUGUUUUCACAUCCUACAUCAAACCCAUCAGCCUUGUGUGGUAGUUUCUAGAUCACUUCGCUUGACGUUUCUAAUGCUUAUGAUUUGGGACAAGAUAUUUUAAUCAUGUCAAGAUAAUUUAUAACUGAUCAUGCUUUUCCAGAUACACAACGAUUGCGCACUUCUAAUGCUUAUUAUGUCAAGUAACAAGACAAUCCGAUGGCAUGCAAUGCAACCACUUUUGCACUCGUUGCUGUAGAAUCUAGCCUUAAAAGGAAAAUGAUAAUUGCUCAUAUGCUCUCUGCUGAGACAUUGCUCUAUGUUAUGCAGUAUCUACCAAGGUUCCGGCCAGAGAACUUGGCUCACAACACGAAGUUAUUUGACCGAGUGAAUGAAAUUGCGCAAAGAAAGGGAUGCACCACAUCGCAGUUAGCCCUGGCCUGGGUAUACCACCAGCGUGAUGAUGUUUGCCCAAUUCCCGGCACGACCAAGAUCGAGAAUUUCAACCAGAACACUGGAGCUAUGUCAGUGAAGCUUACACCGGAAGAGAUGGCCGAGCUUGAAUCGAUUGCUUCUGCGGACAAUGUCAAGGGUGGCAGGUACGAUGGAAGCAUGUCUACAUGGGAAAACUCCGACACUCCACCCCUUUCUUCUUGGAAACCUGCCUAGAAGCGUGUCUGCUUCUGUUGCUGCAUCUUUGAUGUGCAGAGUUUGAGCAUUUGCCGCUGAAGUAAUUUGAGUUUAUGUUAUGUGGCUGUUAUAAGUACGUGUAAUAAGAGAGUGACUGUUUUCAUUUUGUACAUGUGAUAUUCACUAU
rnacentral:lncRNA from 1 species